UGGAGGGGCAGAGGCUCCCCUUUCUUCUGGGCUUGGUUCCGGAGGAGGCCAAAAGAAAGUUUACCAGGGAAGCAAUUUGAAGGCAAAAGUCCACUCUAAAGUGAAGGUUGUGACAAGUUGAUGGAAAUAACCAGCAUAGAAUCAAAUUUAAGUCCCUGGCUUCCUGAAUCCCAUUCUUUGCCCCACACUGAGUCUGCAUCUCACUCAUCCCAAAACAACCAACAGUGACGAUUGUAGUGAGAAAGCCAAUAAAGAAACAAGAAAGAAGACUGAACUGAAGGAAAACUGGGAGGUGUCAUGGAGUGCUGAAUGAAGGCAUGCGAAGAACUGAUGGCUUCCCAGGGCUUCUGUCACGAUGGGGUGGCCUGGAACAAGAGAAAUAUAUUGCCACUCUGUUCUGGAGCCUGGAAGUCCUGAGUUGAAAUGUCAGCAGAGCCAUACACCACAGAAGGUUCUAGUAACAAAUCCUUCCAGCCUCUGGCCUCCUCUACACUGGUCUGUAGCCUCUGGGGUCCUAGGUUUGUAACUAUGGAGCCUGGUUUCUGCCUCUGUCUCCAGGACACAUUGUGUGUAUAUCACUUCAUAGGGCAUUCUUUUAUUUAAACCUUAUAAAUUUUAUUCAGUAUAACUGAGUGCAUAUGUGUGCGAUGUGUAUUUGGGCUGUGCAUGCCAUGACAGUCAAAGGUGGUAAGAGGACCCCUACUCUUCUUCCACUGUUAUGUGGGUU